UGCUUUCUCGUGAUCACGUUUCC
rnacentral:misc_RNA from 1 species